GAUGAACGCUGGCGGCGUGCCUAAUACAUGCAAGUCGAGCGAACGGACGAGAAGCUUGCUUCUCUGAUGUUAGCGGCGGACGGGUGAGUAACACGUGCAUAACCUAACUAUAAGACUGGGAUAACUUCGGGAAACCGUAGCUAAUACCGGAUAAUAUUUUGAACCGCAUGGUUCAAAAGUUUAAGACGGUCUUGCUGUCACUUCUACAUGGAUCCGCGCUGCAUUAGCUAGUUGGUAAGGUAACGGCUUACCAAGGCAACGGUGCAUAGCCGACCUGAGAGGGUGAUGCGCCACACUGGAACUGAGACGCGGUCCUGACUCCUACGGGAGGCAGCAGUAGGGAAUCUUCCGCGCUGGGCGAAAGCCUGAAGGAGCAACGCCGCGUGAGUGAUGAAGGUCUUCGGAUCGUAAAACUCUGUUAUUAGGGAAGACCAUAUGUGUAAGUAACUGUGCACAUCUUGACGGUACCUAAUCAGAAAGCCACGGCUAACUACGUG
rnacentral:rRNA from 1 species